GAGCGGCAGCGCGGGGGCAACCCUGGCGGCGAGCGGCGGACGGGUGAGGAAUGCGUCGGAAUCUGCCUUGUUGUGGGGGAUAACGUAGGGAAACUUACGCUAAUACCGCAUAAGACCGCGAGGUGAAAGUGGGGGACCGCAAGGCCUCACGCGACAAGAUGAGCCGACGCCGGAUUAGCUAGUUGGUGGGGUAAAGGCCCACCAAGGCGACGAUCCGUAGCUGGUCUGAGAGGAUGAUCAGCCACACUGGGACUGAGACACGGCCCAGACUCCUACGGGAGGCAGCAGUGGGGAAUAUUGGACAAUGGGCGCAAGCCUGAUCCAGCCAUGCCGCGUGGGUGAAGAAGGCCUUCGGGUUGUAAAGCCCUUUUGUUGGGAAAGAAAUCCUGUCGGUUAAUACCUGGCGGGGAUGACGGUACCCAAAGAAUAAGCACCGGCUAACUUCGUGCCAGCAGCCGCGGUAAUACGAAGGGUGCUAGCGUUACUCGGAAUUACUGGGCGUAAAGCGUGCGUAGGCGGUUCGUUAAGUCUGUCGUGAAAGCCCUGGGCUCAACCUGGGGAAUUGCGAUGGAUACUG
rnacentral:rRNA from 1 species